rnacentral:rRNA from 1 species
UACGUAGGGACCGAGCGUUGUCCGGAUUCAUUGGGCGUAAAGAGCUCGUAGGCGGCUGUUCAAGUCGAACGUGAAAACUCGGAGCUCAACUCCGAGCCUGCGUUCGAUACUGGACGGCUAGAGUCUGGUAGGGGGAUCUGGAAUUCCUGGUGUAGCGGUGGAAUGCGCAGAUAUCAGGAGGAACACCAACGGCGAAGGCAGCUCGCUGGGACGGUACUGACGCUGAGACGCGAAAGCGUGGGGGAGCGAACAGG